UGAGGGAAUAUUUGGGUCAAUGGGCGGAAGCCUGAACCAGCCAAGUAGCGUGCAGGACGACGGCCCUAUGGGUUGUAAACUGCUUUUAUGCGGGGAUAAAGUGGGCCACGCGUGGCCUUUUGCAGGUACCGCAUGAAUAAGGACCGGCUAAUUCCGUGCCAGCAGCCGCGGUAAUACGGAAGGUCCGGGCGUUAUCCGGAUUUAUCGGGUUUAAAGGGAGCGCAGGCCGCCGGGCAAGCGUGUUGUGAAUGCAGUCGCUCAACGUCUGCACUGCAGCGCGAACUGCCCAGCUUGAGUGCGCGCAACGUUGGCGGAAUUCGCCGU
rnacentral:rRNA from 1 species